AAAGUGUUUCACUACGGAUCAAUUAGCUUAAUAGUGGAGCCAUGUAGGUCGGCUCACUUGAAGGCCAUGGAAGUUGCGAAAGAAGCAGGAGCUCUUCUUUCCUACGACCCAAACCUCAGGGAACCUCUGUGGCCAUCAAAGGAAGAAGCCAAGACACAGAUCAUGAGCAUCUGGGACAAGGCUGAGAUCAUCAAGGUGAGCGACGUCGAGCUCGAGUUUCUCACUGGAAGUAACAAGAUCGACGAUGAAACCGCAAUGUCCUUGUGGCACCCCAACUUGAAGCUCUUGCUUGUCACUCUCGGUGAAAAGGGUUGUCGGUAUUACGCCAAGGUAAACUCACUAUAACAUCUUUUACGUGCAUUUACCAUCAUCAUCAUUCAUCAUGAUUGUGUCUUGUGUGCUGUGUCCAUUAGGUGAUACCAGAAGGCAAAACUAGUAUGCUAUAUAUUAUACAUUUCAUAAUUAUUUAUAUACUAGCAUGUUUUUGGAAAGGAGCCGAGAAACGUAUUAAAAAUAUUAAUCAGAACAGAGGAGAUUUAAAAUACAUUAGGAAUCAUUUGUGCUACUCAAUUUAAUAUUGUUUGGUAGAUCUCACCUAAUGCUUAAUUACAAAAUUGAAUUCUUUUUUCGUGGACCCUCUAGAAAUCAAUUGAGGGUCACAAAAGUCGUGAUCCCUAUGGUUCUUUGUAUUUUCAAACGUGACGAAUUUUCUUCUUGUCAAGAAAAGGAAGAAGUUACUUUGUGCUUUUCUCAUUUGCCGAAUCACAUGAACAGUAAAAUGAUUCGUAUACUUCUUUAUUACGUCAAUGACUUUUGUGUCUCCCACUAAAAUUGGGGUUCUUUGCUUAUAUUCACUGUGUAGAAUUUCCGUGGAUCCGUUGACCCUUUCCAUGUGAACGCGGUGGAUACUACCGGAGCUGGAGAUUCCUUUGUUGGUGCUCUCCUAAACAAGAUUGCCGAUGACCACUCCAUCCUCGAGGUAAGCAUCUAAUUAAUUAUUGAAUGAAUCCUCUUUAGGUUAAAGAUGAUAUUAAAAUGUUUUAAAUUCAUUAACAGGACGAAGAGAGAUUGAGAAAGGUGCUAAGAUUCGCAAACGCUUGUGGAGCAAUAACCACGACCAAAAAAGGAGCCAUUCCAGCUCUUCCUUCAGAUGCUGAAGUUCUCAGCUUUCUUGAAGGCAAGUAGAAAAAAAAAACAACUCUCAAGCUUUCUUAUGUAAUCUUGUUGUAAGAGAAACCAAUUAGGCACGCUAUGUUUUGUCUCUCUUCCUCAAAUGUAAUGAUUUAAAGGAAACUAUGCUUAAAAAAAAAAAAACUGUUUUUAACCUAUUCAGCAGGUCAUUUUUCUUCUUUGGAGGUUUUUUAUGAUAAAAAUGUCACUUUGAAGGUUAAAAGUGUUAGUGAAAAAACUUCAAGGUUUAAAGUGCUAGUAAGUGACACUUUCAAGGUUUUUUAUGCGAUUUUCCCUUACAUAUUUGCAUAUACCCCUAAACAAACUUCUUAUCUUUGUUUAGUAAAAUAUACUGUCAUUGAUUUUAUUUUCUUAAAAAAAAUCCAUUUUUCAAAAUUUCGUUUUUAACCGGGAAUCUAUAUUAUUCUUAAACACGUGAGACGGUAAGAGUACGUUGCUGGUGUUUUGUCAUUAUCCCAUUAAUCAGACAAGAUACUACCAUACAUCAUGAUAUAUACAAUACAAAUGUACUAAAUAUAUAAUUUACUCUAUAGAUUUAUUACGAGUAAAUGACUCCUCCUGAUAUACGAUUACCACUUUUAAUCUUGAUUAAGAAAGAAAAUAGAAAAAUCUAAGAUUCGGGUAAACUUUUGAAAAAGGUAAUAAGAUUUUGACAAGAUUUUUUGCAUUUUAUUAGAAAUUUCAUGUUUUUAGAAGAUAUAUAUAUUCAGAUAUUUCUAUGGAUAAUGGAUAUUUCAAGAAUAUAUUUACGUUUAUAUCUCAUAAACAUAAUCAACGGUCAUAUCUCAUAAUAUAUUUUGACGAGAGUUUUUGCAUUUUAUUAGAAAUUCAAUGUUUUUAGCAGACAUUCCUUAGAUAUUUUUAUAGAUUAUGGAUAUUUCAGAAAAUAUUUAUAUUAUCUUAAAUGAUUACGUUUAUUAUCUCAUCACCAGUUACAACUCUUGGUCGUCCUCUAUAUAAACCAUUCUCUCCUCUUCAUUUCAUAUCAUUUCCCUUCUAUAAUUUUUUAAUAUCUCCGAUUUGAUCCAACGAUCCACAGAUCUCGUUUCCAAAUGGCAUCCAACGGCGAGAAACCACUGAUCGUCAGCUUCGGCGAGAUGCUCAUCGACUUCGUCCCCACCGAGUCCGGCAUCUCGCUCGCUGAAGCACCAGGCUUCCUCAAAGCUCCCGGCGGCGCUCCGGCUAACGUCGCCAUCGCCGUCUCUCGUCUCGGCGGACGAUCCGCCUUCGUCGGAAAACUCGGCGACGACGAGUUCGGUCACAUGUUGGCUGGGAUCCUGAGGAAAAACGGCGUCGCUGAUCAGGGGAUCAACUUCGAUACCGGAGCUAGAACCGCCUUGGCGUUCGUGACGUUGAAGGCCGACGGAGAUCGGGAGUUCAUGUUUUACCGGAAUCCUAGCGCCGACAUGUUGCUCCGUCCCGAUGAACUCAACCUCGAGCUCAUCAGAUCGGUACGUGUAUCUCUUCUCUCUCUAUCCCUUUCAAGAGAUCUGGAGGGAAGUAGAGAUUCAUUAGUCUAGUUUUUUUUAAAUUUUCGUCUAGAAGAUAAUCUCACUCACUCUAAUGGGAUAUGUAUCAAUUAAUGCUAACUAACGGUGACUUUUGUCUCAUCUCAUUGCGAUUUUUUCGCGGGUCUUAUUAGUAUUCUUCUUCCUCGCACGGAUGUGCGUUGUUCCACGUGGGAUCACGUGAUUUGUCCAAAGCACAUGACUUCUUGUUUUUUUUAUCAUCAGAAAAUUGGAAAAAAAAAACAUGAAAGUGAUAUGAAAAUUUUCAUUUUUUUUUGUCUAAAAAUAAAAGUUCAGCCGUUUUUGUUUAACUAGUAUCGUGAUUAGGCAAAAGCAAUAUUUUUUUGCUAAUAAAACAUAUGUUCUGAUUUGUGGAAAUAGGGAGUGAUGUUUUUAGAUUAAUUAGUUAAAGCCGUGUGUUCUCUUCUUGAUCCAAAUUGAAUUACUGAAUUUUUGAGUAUUUUCGGGCUCAUUGAUGUGAUCAAAAGUGAAUGUUCUUCACAUAACAACAUGUGUGUAAAGUGGAUCUUUAUGGCGAUGGUGAAAUGAUCGCUAGGUUUGAAAUUGUUUUUUUUUGCGUAAUUUUGGUAAAAGACGUACCUUUACAGCUAAUCUCAAUGGCGAGAACCUUUUACUUUUCUUGAACAGUUUGAUAAUGAUUGACCCCAUUGUAGUUUUUUUACAUGAAACAACAAAGAAUCAAUAUCAGAAUGGGCCCCUUCGAAAUUAUUCCUUAUGAAUAAUGAUCAAACUUGUGCUACUUUGUGAGUUUUUUGGGGUGUACCGUGUACCGGCUUUUACUUGAUUUUUGUAAAUUUUGAAUUUUGUUGUGGUUUGUUUUUGCAGGCUAAAGUGUUUCACUACGGAUCAAUUAGCUUAAUAGUGGAGCCAUGUAGGUCGGCUCACUUGAAGGCCAUGGAAGUUGCGAAAGAAGCAGGAGCUCUUCUUUCCUACGACCCAAACCUCAGGGAACCUCUGUGGCCAUCAAAGGAAGAAGCCAAGACACAGAUCAUGAGCAUCUGGGACAAGGCUGAGAUCAUCAAGGUGAGCGACGUCGAGCUCGAGUUUCUCACUGGAAGUAACAAGAUCGACGAUGAAACCGCAAUGUCCU
rnacentral:lncRNA from 1 species